rnacentral:rRNA from 1 species
GACCUCAAACCCAUAAAUUUUGGCGGUCUUUAGAUAUAAUAAGAGAAACUUGUCCUGUAAAUGAAAUUACUCAAAACAUCUUACUUUAAACCAAAUAUUAWGUUUGUAUACCACCAUCUUAAAAAUACUCCUUAUUAUUUUUAAAAUAAAUAAACUUACAAAUGUUAGGUCAAGGUGCAGCCUAUAUUGAAGUAGAAUGAUUAGUUAUAAUCCUACCUAGGGGUAAACAAAAACUGAAAACUAAAAUUUAAGAGGAUUUUAAAGUAACCUUUUUUUAAUAAGAUUAGGUGACUAACAAACCUAAAGAUGCACAUAUCGCCCGUCGCUCGCGGGAA